GCGAACAACCUCCACCCCGCGCACGCUCCCCGUCCCACCCCGCCCUGUCGGCCGCACGCGCGCCUCUUCUCGGGGCCUUCUCCAGGGCCAAGCCUGGACCCUGUCUCCUGGGCCCCAGAUGCGGCUCUCCAAAGUGAAAGUGAAAUGAGGAAAGAAGGCCAAGUGGUCUGUAGGGGAAGGGUAAUUAGCAUCCGUGUCAAGGUUUACACUCCUGCUCCACCGUCCAGGCUUGCCUAACAGAUGGAGUGAAGCGACCGAGACUCGCUGAGGAGGAAGAAAGAGGAUAUCCCUCCUGAUUCGUUAGAGAGUGGGUGGAGAACUCUUGCAAUAUCCUUGAGUGUUCUCUAGUAAGAGGAUCUUAAACUGGUGGAUUUCUCACUGGGUUUUCUGCUGUGGUCAGAGCACUCGACACAUCCUUUCUCCAUCGGGAAGGAAAAAAAAAAAAAAAGCAACCCUCUCUCCUGCACACACUGUCAGACUUAUGAGGCCACAACUGACAUACGUGCUUGAAGGAGAAAGUGCGCUAUUGUGUCUUGUUUUUCCUUUUGAAUUCCGUCCUCCUGAGACACUGGCUGACCCUUAGGCCCAUGGCCGUCCUGAAUGUGAUUGACAUGCGUGAUUAGCAGGCUAGUGAGAGAGAACCAGGGAAAUUGCUAUCAAAACAAUUACAUACAGGGAUAUCAGAACAAUGGCUUGAGAGACCCCAGGGACUUAGAGACCAUCCUAGCUCUGCCACGGAUGCCCUCUGGGACUGUGGCCAAGUCAGAUCAUCUCUUUGUGUCUUCGUUUCCUCCUGUUUGGGUAUCAAAAGUAUACUUAUAAAAUGAAGCAAGGAUCUCUUCUAUCUCUUCAUUGAAAAAGACUGUCUAAUACAGGAAAUAAAUUUUGAAGAUUUGGUUAAACUCACCUAUGGGGUUAUGGUGCCAUGACUUGGUACAGAAUUAAAUUCAUCAUUGGACCCCUGGAACCUCUCCUCCAGGACCUCAAAUGCACACGUCUGAAGACUUUGUUUCACUCUUGACUGAUUAGGGAUCCAAUGGUCUGGAGGCUGGAAGUCUGAGAUCAGUGUGCUGACAGAUUUGGUGUCUGACGAGAAUCCACUCCCUGGUUGUAGACUGCUGACUUCUUGCCGUACCCUCAUGUGAUGGAAAAAGGAUAUUUGUUCUGAUCCAUUGUAUAGGGAUUUCAGGUCAAGUUGAGAAGAACUG